GAUGAACGCUAGCGGCAGGCUUAACACAUGCAAGUCGAGGGGUAUAGUUCUUCGGAGCUAGAGACCGGCGCACGGGUGCGUAACGCGUAUGCAAUCUACCUUUUGCAGAGGGAUAGCCCAGAGAAAUUUGGAUUAAUACCUCAUGGUAUGUGAGAAUGGCAUCAUUUUCACAUUAAAGUCACAACGGCAAAAGAUGAGCAUGCGUCCCAUUAGCUAGUUGGUAAGGUAACGGCUUACCAAGGCAACGAUGGGUAGGGGUCCUGAGAGGGAAAUCCCCCACACUGGUACGGAGACACGGACCAGACGCCUACGGGAGGCAGCAGUGAGGAAUAUUGGACAAUGGGCGCAAGCUUGAUCCAGCCAUGCCGCGUGCAGGAUGACGGUCCUAUGGAUUGUAAACUGCUUUUGUACAGGAGGAAACACUGGUUCGUGAACCAGCUUGACGGUACUGUAAGAAUAAGGAUCGGCUAACUCCGUGCCAGCCGCCGCCGUAAUAC
rnacentral:rRNA from 1 species